rnacentral:rRNA from 1 species
CCUACGGGAGGCAGCAGUGAGGAAUAUUGGUCAAUGGGCUUACGCCUGACCCAGCCAAGUCGCGUGAGGGAAGACUGCUCUCUGGGUUGUAAACCUCUUUUGUCAGGGAGCAAUUGGCGCUACGUGUAGCGUUAUCGAUCGUACCUGACGAAACAUCAUCGGCAAACUCCGUGCCAGCAGCCGCGGUAAUACGGGGGAUGCGAGCGUUAUCCGGAUUUAGUGGGUUUAAAGGGUGCGUAGGCGGAAUGCCAAGUCAGCGUGAAAAUCGCGGGGCUCAACCUCGCUCCGCCGUUGACACUGGCGUUCUUGAGUGCGCGAGAAGGAUGCGGAAUGCGUGGUGUAGCGGUGAAAUGCAUAGAUAGCACGCAGAACUCCGAUUGCGAAGGCAGCAUACCGGCGCCCAACUGACGCUGAAGCACGAAAGCGUGGGUAUCGAACAGGAUUAGAUACCCCUGUAGUC